AGUCGCAUAGUUAUCGGGUAUUUCACCAAACUCAGUAAAGUUCCACAGUUUAUGAAACUCUCCUGCAACCUCCUCACUCCUUAAGCUUUAAUCUUUGUCUGCCUUUCGUUGUUUUUCUUGCUGCUACACCAUCAACUGACAGUAAGGUUACAGUCCUUUCAUCAUUCCCUGCUUUUGACAAGGGACUAUUUGCAUCUAUGAGAAAGGUAAGUUACUAAAAGUUUCUGUACACUUACACCAAUAUACGAAACUCAUUAAGGUUCAUUGAAGAACUAUUUAUCUGUUGGGUUCGACGUCUGCUGCACCUAAUAAAGAAUACAACACAAUUGAGAUAGUGUUAUUUCGUCUAAACACAUGUUAUUUUGGCUCAAUAUAAAUGAUCAGCUGCUUACUGUUACAACUAUAGAUGUCGACACCAAAAUGCAUCAGAUUAUUAUUGCUUCAGUGCCAUUAGCUCUUGAACCUCUUUCUGUAAUCUCAUGUUUUCUUCUGUCAGAUUCUCAAUACACCUCUUCAAGAACUCAUAGUCCACUUGCUUCAAUUUUGUCUUGUACGUCCACAGACUAUUUUUUGAAUAAAUUUUUUUAUGUAUUAACGUAUGUAGAGAUAAGAAACAUCAAAUAUUGAUAUUUUUGAUUAGUAGAACUGUGAAAAUCAUGUUUCUUGUUUAAGAGAUCUAACUGGAAUAGUAUUUUCAGUUUCUCAUUUGGUGAAAAUGUUCUCACCUAGCUUUUUUGUAGGGUAACAUGCACCUAUAGAUGCUGAUGCCAACAUGCUUCAGGCAAUUACUCUUAUGAUAAUUUUUUCUGUGUAGUUGCACGAUUUUUCUGCUGCUACUUGGAGACAUGUUACAUAAGCUCAGUAUGUGAGCUUCAAUUUCUCUAUACAUGUUGAUUUGAAAAAUAAUUAAAUCAUCACUGCAAUUGAAGAUUAGAAUAACUGCUUUGUUUAUUAUGAUAAGUUAAAGUUUAUUUCUCU